GUGCUCAUUUCAGCAGCACAUAUACUAAAAUGGAACAAUACAAAGAUUAACAUGACCUCUGAACAAGGAUGGCACACAAAUUCGUGAAAUGUUCCAUAUUUUU
rfam:Pteropus alecto contig25349, whole genome shotgun sequence.